UACGGAGGGGGCGAGCGUUAUUCGGAAUUAUUGGGCGUAAAGGGCGCGUAGGCGGCUAUUCAAGUCAAAGGUGAAAUCCCUCGGCUCAACUGAGGAACUGCCUUUGAAACUGGAUGGCUUGAGGCCGGGAGGGGGUAGCGGAAUUCCCAGUGUAGCGGUGAAAUGCGUAGAUAUUGGGAGGAACACCAGUGGCGAAGGCGGCUACCUGGACCGGUUCUGACGCUGAUGCGCGAAAGCGUGGGUAGCAAACAGG
rnacentral:rRNA from 1 species